CAGACCAGCAUUAACCCUUGCAGAACUCGGCAUUCACCUAUUUUGAUUGCUCAGUGCUCCAAUAUAUCUAGAUCCCCCUGCAAGGCCUCUCAUCCCUCCAGAGAGUCAACAGCACCACCCAGUUUAGUAUCAUCAGCAAACUUGC